rnacentral:rRNA from 1 species
GUAGGGAAUAUUGCGCAAUGGGGGAAACCCUGACGCAGCGACGCCGCGUGAGUGAUGAAGGCCUUCGGGUCGUAAAGCUCUGUUGCAGGGGAAUAAAAAAAUGAAGGUACCCUGUGAGGAAGGAUCGGCUAACUUCGUGCCAGCAGCCGCGGUAAGACGAGGGAUCCUAGCGUUGCUCGGAAUCAUUGGGCGUAAAGAGGGCGUAGGUGGCUUGGUAAGUCAGGUGUGAAAGCCCAGGGCUCAACCCUGGAAGUGCAUUUGAUACUGCUGAGCUUGAGUGUCGGAGAGGUUACCGGAAUACCUGGUGUAGUGGUGAAAGACGUAGAUAUCAGGUGGAACACCGGAGGCGAAGGCGGGUAACUGGACGAACACUGACACUGAGGCCCGAAAGCGUGGGGAUCAAACAGGAUUAGAUACCCCGGUAGUCC